AUUGAACGCUGGCGGCAGGCCUAACACAUGCAAGUCGAACGGUAACAGGAAGAAGCUUGCUUCUUUGCUGACGAGUGGCGGACGGGUGAGUAAUGUCUGGGAAACUGCCUGAUGGAGGGGGAUAACUACUGGAAACGGUAGCUAAUACCGCAUAACGUCGCAAGACCAAAGAGGGGGACCUUCGGGCCUCUUGCCAUCGGAUGUGCCCAGAUGGGAUUAGCUAGUAGGUGGGGUAACGGCUCACCUAGGCGACGAUCCCUAGCUGGUCUGAGAGGAUGACCAGCGACACUGGAACUGAGACACGGUCCAGACUCCUACGGGAGGCAGCAGUGGGGAAUAUUGCACAAUGGGCGCAAGCCUGAUGCAGCCAUGCCGCGUGUAUGAAGAAGGCCUUCGGGUUGUAAAGUACUUUCAGCGGGGAGGAAGGGAGUAAAGUUAAUACCUUUGCUCAUUGACGUUACCCGCAGAAGAAGCACCGGCUAACUCCGUG
rnacentral:rRNA from 1 species